AUGGCGCGAGAGGGAGUAGGGGCAGCCAUGGCGCCCGCAGCGGCGGAAGUGAGGUACGGGAUAGUUGGGGUCGGGAUGAUGGGGAGGGAGCACCUCCACAACCUCGCCCACCUCGCCGGAGAAGUCGAGCGGGAGCAGUCCGUCCGCGUCUGCGUCACCUGCCUCGCCGACCCCCACCCGGAGUCCCUCCUCCUUGGCCUCCGCCUCGCUGCGGAGCUUGGCCUGCCACCUCCCCAGACAUUUUCAGGUCACCGCGAGUUGCUGGACAGCGGGCUCUGUGACGCCGUUGUUGUGUCGUCGCCAAACAUGACACACUCUGAGAUACUCAUGGACAUCAUUGGUUAUGCCAAGCCGCACCAUGUUCUUGUUGAGAAGCCUCUGUGCACCACUGUACAGGACUGCGAGAAGGUCAUAGAGGCUGCCAAACAUAGGCCAGACAUACUCGUGCAAGUCGGAUUAGAAUACCGGUAUAUGCCGCCGGUGGCUAAGCUGAUAGAUAUUGUUAAAAGUGGCACACUAGGGCAGGUCAGAAUGGUGGCUAUCCGUGAACACCGGUUUCCUUUCCUUGUUAAGGUGAAAAACUGGAAUAGGUUUAAUUACAACAGUGGGGGAACUCUGGUUGAGAAGUGCUGCCACUUUUUUGAUUUGAUAAGAUUGUUUGCAGAUGCGAACCCUGUUCGUGUGAUGGCCUCUGGAGCUAUUGAUGUUAACCAUAAGGAUGAGGUUUAUGAUGGAAAGGUACCAGAUAUAAUUGAUAAUGCAUAUGUGAUCGUAGAAUUCGAUAAUGGCUGUCGUGGCAUGCUUGAUCUCUGCAUGUUUGCUGAAGGCAGUAAAAAUGAGCAGGAAAUUUCUGUUGUUGGUGACACUGGAAAGGGCGAGGCUUUUGUUCCAGAGGGCGUUGUGAGGGUUGGAAAGCGAGCAGGAGGCAGAGAUGGAGUUGUAACGGUAAAGGCCGAAGAUGAACGAAUCAAGUACCAGGGGCUUCACCAUGGAUCUAGCUACUUGGAGCACCUGAAUUUCCUGUCUGCCAUCAGGGCACAAGGUGCAUGUAGCCCAGCUAUCAGCUUGGAUGACGGCUUACUAUCUGUUGCAAUUGGUGUGGCUGGCCAAUUGUCGAUCGAGAAAGGCCGUUUCGUCACCAUUGAGGAGGUGCUAUCAAGCUGA
rnacentral:rRNA from 1 species